GCCAGGCAUGGUGGCAUAAGCCUGUAAUCCCACCCUCUCUGGAGGCUGAGGCAGGAUGAUUGUGAGUUUAAAGCCAGCCUCGGCAAAAACCAGGCAUUAAGCAACUCAGGAAGAUCUUGUCUCUA
rnacentral:sRNA from 1 species